GGUGUGGAGAAGAGACAUCAGGGCCUGAGAGGCCCAGGCUGAGUCCUUCCCCUGCCCACUGAGGAGUCCCAGCCCUGCUCCAGGAUGUUUGAGGGCCAGAGACAGAAUGGAAGGGCCACAGUGAGCACCAAAGGAGACCAUGCGAGCAGAAGCCUCCACAACGGCAGAGGGCUCCGCCAGGCGAGGGUUUGGUAUGCCACCUGCAUCAGAUACAAAGUCUCACCUACACUUGGGUCUGUUUCUAGACCAGGGCUGUUCAACAGAGUUUUCUACAAUGAUGGGAAUGUUCUACAAUAGAUCUGUGUUAUCCAGCAGGGUAACCACUGGCCACAUGUGGC